rnacentral:rRNA from 1 species
UGGGGAAUAUUGGACAAUGGGCGAAAGCCUGAUCCAGCCAUGCCGCGUGUGUGAAGAAGGUCUUCGGAUUGUAAAGCACUUUAAGUUGGGAGGAAGGGCAGUAAGCGAAUACCUUGCUGUUUUGACGUUACCGACAGAAUAAGCACCGGCUAACUCUGUGCCAGCAGCCGCGGUAAUACAGAGGGUGCAAGCGUUAAGCGGAAUUACUGGGCGUAAAGCGCGCGUAGGUGGUUCGUUAAGUUGAAUGUGAAAGCCCCGGGCUCAACCUGGGAACUGCAUCCAAAGCUGGCGAGCUAGAGUAGGGCAGAGGGUGGUGGAAUUUCCUGUGUAGCGGUGAAAUGCGUAGAUAUAGGAAGGAACACCAGUGGCGAAGGCGACCACCUGGGCUCAUACUGAAACUGGGGUGCGAAAGCGUGGGGAGCAAACAGG